UACAGAGGUCUCAAGCGUUGUUCGGAUUCAUUGGGCGUAAAGGGUGUGUAGGUGGCGCGCUAAGUCGGGUGUGAAAUUUCGGAGCUUAACUCCGAAACUGCAUUCGAUACUGGCGUGCUUGAGGACUGGAGAGGAGACUGGAAUUUACGGUGUAGCGGUGAAAUGCGUAGAUAUCGUAAGGAAGACCAGUGGCGAAGGCGGGUCUCUGGACAGUUCCUGACGCUGAGGCACGAAGGCUAGGGGAGCAAACGGG
rnacentral:rRNA from 1 species